rnacentral:rRNA from 1 species
GAUGAACGCUGGCGGUCUGCUUAACACAUGCAAGUCGAGCGCGCCCUUCGGGGUGAGCGGCGGACGGGUUAGUAACGCGUGGGAAUAUACCCUUUGGUACGGAAUAGCCUCUAGGAAAACGGAGAGUAAUACCGUAUGAGCCCUUCGGGGGAAAGAUUUAUCGCCAAAAGGAUUAGCCCGCGUUAGAUUAGGUAGUUGGUGGGGUAAUGGCCUACCAAGCCUACGAUCUAUAGCUGG